UGACCAAAACACAAGCACACAUAGAGAGCCAUUAUAAGGAGUCGUCCACCUAAGGAAAAUUCUCACUUCUAUGCAGGUCACAUUAGAAUUGGAGCACCGACACCAUUGACUGGUUUGCUCGGUUCGUCUUGCGAAGAGAGUUUUCUUAAUGGAGAACAGUAAUUAUCCACAGACUUAUUCGGGUUUUCAGUACUUCCCUCCUCCAUCUGCAUGGAUCGAUCCGGAUUCUGUAUCGCCUGACGACAAUAACACCCCAACAUGGGUCAUCAUUGCUGUAGUCAUUGUUGUCGUCAUGCUCUGUGGUUUCCUUUUCUACUACAUCCGAAGGCGAGAGAAGAAAAUCCAGAAAAAAGCAACGCCACAAUCUCCCGCCAAGAAGGAAAAUCCGACUCCACCGCCCAAGGCAGAGGCCAAGAAGGUGGAAAGUCCGGCUCCACCCGCCAAGAAGGUGGAAAGUCCGGCUGCACCCGCCAAGCUGCCGCCAAUUGGCAUCCCGAUAUCGUGCCUAGGUCAUUGUCCGUCAUGCGGGCAUGGAGGAGGACUAUACUCUUUCUCAUAUACUUGCCCUCAGUGUAAGUAUAAGAUAGACUGUAAUGUAGCGUAUCCACCCAAAAAAUGAAACGGAAACUACAGUAGUUUUUCUCAUCUUAUUGUAUGCUUAUGAAUUUGGAAGCUUCUAUGCAUGUUCACGUGUGAAACUUAAAUAAUGCAUAGUGACAUAUUGUCUA